UUUUUUUUUUUUUACGUCGCUGCCUGUUGCGCCGGUAGGCAUCUUCCUGGUGGGGCCUGAUGGUCGGCCCAAGGCUUCUUCCAGGUGGGGCCUGAUGGUCGGCCCAGCCCGUUCUGGCGCAGGCGAGUGUUUAUAGUGGCGCCAUCUUGCAUUGGCUCAUGCUGCCCCCCAGGAACUCGUUCUUGAUUCGCUUGGACGGCUUCCUCUAGAGUCCGGGUUGAUGGGUGGUCUUCAGGACAGCAUGUGGGUAGUUUUAAGCCACUCGGCGGUGACUGAAAAAUCCGAGUGGUAGCGUGGGGAUUCGAACCCGCGUCGUCCAUCACGCGGUGAAUGUGGGCCCAGUACGCUACCAUUUCGGCCACCGC